UUGAGAGGUUUGACGGUGAAUUAGCGCUUAAUAUUUUUCUAUAGAUUUUAGGUUUUUCUUUCCUUUCGGGAGGAAAGGAAAGUGAAACUUUUAUUAAGGAGUCUUUCCUUCCACUUCCCUUCCUUUCCUUCUAUUUUCUAUAUAAUAUUUAAAAGAAAAAUUUGUCUGAAACUACCUUAUAAAUUCAACAUUUUGCGAGAAACUACCUAAUAAAAAAAAAGUGGCAAAAAACUACCUUAUAUCAAAAAUAAUUUGCAGGAAGAUACCACUCGUCGGAUUCUGAGCAUUGACCGAUAAUCCCGGCGUUGACUAAGCACGUGGAGGUCACGUGAUCUUGUUAAACCACCAUUUUUAUUAUAUUUUUGUAAUUUCACGUUUGUUUCCAUUUGAUUAACUUCUAACCCCCCUUUAAUUGCAGCCCUUCAAAAGAACAAAACCCCCUUUUAUUGCUUUGAUGUUUCUCUCUCCUGUUCCAUAAGCUCCAUUCUUGUACUUUGUCGAUUUCCUAUUAAAAAAAAUUUACCUCUCAAAUAUCAAUUUGUUGAUCCAAGACAAAUUCAUCCAACUCCAAUUGCAGCAGCUGCUAUGGUUUCUUCACAUAAUAAGAAAGUGGGCAAGUGAAAAUAUGGUUUUCCAAAAACCUCUUAUACUCGUGACAAUUCUCAUUCUGGUAAUUAAUUUUCUUCUAUGACAUAUUUUUGGCGUUUAAACUGGCUAGCUGCUAAUAAUCACUCAUCAUCUUCACUGCUUGCCCCAAUCCUAAAAUCGGGCACAUUAGGAGGUGGCACCUUUAUGUCUCUCAACUCAGCCUCAUCUGGUUGGUAUGCCUUAUGUUAGCUAACAACAAUGCACGAGAGAAUUACUUCGAGGAAGCAUCCCGAGUUUAGAUCUUUUCAACAGAAUAGAAAUUUGUGUUAGCUCAAAAUAACAAGAUCAUUCGAUGAAAGAAAUUGAAUGAGGUAUUUAAUUAAGUAGGAAUGUAGGAUGUAUCCUUAGUUUAGUUUAGUUUUUGCUACAAGUUGAAAUAUUUUGUAAAUUGCACCUGUUAUUUUGUUAAAUAAAGAUUAGUUUUUGUAA